UACGUAGGGUGCAAGCGUUGUCCGGAAUUAUUGGGCGUAAAGAGCUCGUAGGCGGUCUGUCGCGUCGGGAGUGAAAACUCGGGGCUUAACCCCGAGCGUGCUUUCGAUACGGGCAGACUAGAGGGAUGCAGGGGAGAAUGGAAUUCCUGGUGUAGCGGUGGAAUGCGCAGAUAUCAGGAAGAACACCGAUGGCGAAGGCAGGUCUCUGGGCCAUUACUGACACUGAGAAGCGAAAGCAUGGGGAGCGAACAGG
rnacentral:rRNA from 1 species